GAUGAAUGCCUUGGCAUCAGCAGGCGAUGAAGGACGUGAUAAGCUGCGAAAAGCAUCGGGGAGCGGCAAAUACGCGUUGAUCCGGUGAUGUCCGAAUGGGGAAACCCGGCCCGAGUCAUAUCGGGCCACCUGAUUGUGAAUUCAUAGCAGUCAGGAGCCAAACCCGGCGAAGUGAAACAUCUCAGUAACCGGAGGAAAAGAAAGCAACCGCGAUUCUCCUAGUAGUGGCGAGCGAACGGGGAACAGCCUAAACCUGGGUUUCGAUCCAGGGGUCGCGGGACCACAAUGUGGCAUCUGAAUCGGUAGCGGAAUGUCUUGGAAAAUUCAACCAAAGAAGGUGACAGUCCUGUACGCGAAAACCGAAACAGAGCCUAGUGAGUUCCCAAGUAAGACAGGUCACGUGAAACCCUGUCUGAAUCCGGAGGGCCCACCCUCCAAGGCUAAAUACUUGCUGAUGACCGAUGU
rnacentral:rRNA from 1 species